UGUGGUUCUACUGACUGAAGUGAUCCUAUCUUGUGACUCAUGCAUGGCACGUCUAUAAGUCAAGCUGGAAUCCUCUAAAAUAAGUCACAUGGGAAAAAAUUCUGAUCUUAUUCUAGACGAAGAAUGAAAAGCCAGGAAGCUACAUAACCCAAGGUGCCUUUCUAGGAUUUUAGCACAUGGAAGAAAUGUCCCUACCCAUGCAUACAGAAACGCAUAAGAACAGGAAGUGACGUAUUGUUUAUCAGGAAAAACAGUAUUCAUGUAUUAUUUACAAAAAUUGAGGCUGAUCUCCAAGCUCUACUGUGGAAAGAGUUCAUCAAGUUCCUAGACUGAAGAAAGCUAAUUGUAAGAAAUACAUAUGUAGUAUGCACAAGUUUCAUUAUAAAUAAGAGUAAAAACGUGCAUUGUAUAUGUACAUCCUUGUGAGUGUCUGUGUGUAUGUGUGUGUAAAUGUGCUUUUGUGUGUAUAAAAUCUAGAACAAUCUUCACCAGUCUUGUAAAGUAUUUAUGUUUGGGAAAUGAAAAUGGAGAGGAGAAAUUUCUGCUCUAACCCUGACUUUGUUUCUUUCAUUGUUUUUGUUCUUUGAAAAGUAAUUUACAAUGUGCAAGCACUUGACAUUUUAAAAAAUAUUAAAUAACUAAACCACCUGUGUACAACAAAGCAGAAUGUAAUUCUGUAUGUUAAUUAGAAUCAUAAUUUUAAUUAGAAAAAAUUAGCAUAUAUACUCAAAGAUGUAGUCUUGAUUGGAGGUGGGGCUAGCGGUAGUUUUUGGAAAAAUUUACCAAGGUAUAAAUAGAAACUACAGAUAAUGUAAUUUACCUUAUUUUUGUGCAUUUUCUAAACUCAACAAUUAAUAUAAGCUACUUUUAUUAUCCAGAAAAAGUCAUUAAAAUGACAAAAAUCUAGGACACCUGUGCAUUUUGAAAUAUCUCAUUUUGUAUCAAAUACUUUGGCAGUUCUGGAUUGAUAACCAAGUUUAUAUUUCAGCAAACAGGUAAGAAGGUGUCCGUCUUGGGUUGAUUCCCUAGAAGCAGACUGAAAUUGGGAUUUAUUACAGAAACUGUUUAUUCCAGAAGUGCCCCCAAAAGGAACCAGUAAGACACAGGGAAGCAGAAAAGAGAAAAGUGGAAGAAACUCAAUAAGUGUGUGGUUUCAGGUGAUGUCUUCCCAGAGGUUUCUUGUCUAUUCCUGCAGGGGACCUCAAGAGCAUAACUUAAUCUCAGAGUUGUUCACCUCCGUGCAACGAAGUUGGGCUUUCAAGUAUUCUUUGACUAAGAGCCUGUGCUGGAGAAAGGGGCCACGCUGGGCAGGAAGGAAACCCCUAAGAACUCUGCAGCAGGUGGUAAAGGGAUUCCAGCAGUUGAGGCAGCCUUCCUAAGAGAAAUGCAGGUGCAACAGAAAAACAAAAGCAAACACAAGCCAGGAGAAGGAUGCAGCCAAGGAGAAAAGGGGAUUGGAGGAGAUUUAACAGAGUAUCAACAGGAUCCACUGCAGAAGAGGUUUUAUUUUAUUUCCAAAUAUAUCUUCAUUUGUUUAAAAUAUUGAAUUGAACAAAUAUCUUUUCCAGUUCUAACAUGGAGAAAAAAAAAUCAAAAAUUUCAAAUGAACAAAAUUUCAGAGUCAGCCGUUGUAAUACAGGGAAGUUCUUAGGAAUUCCCAGAAAAGCAUAACAAUUUAACAGCUUAAAUUUAGUGAGAUCAAAGUUCAAAGUACUCAAUAUUUUACAGACUUAGAUGUUCCUGUUCUGAAAUCAAAACAGUGAUUCAGCUCCUGUGUCUAUUUUUCUUCAGGAUUUAUUUUCUUUUUCAGUGUUCAAUGUUCUUUUGUACACUCUGGGAAACUCAGUAGAGAAAAAGUAUACUUUUGUUUUAGAAAGAUAAUUUCAGUUAUUUACUGCUAAAUUAUCCUAAAGCAUCCCUGGACACAAGGAGAAUAAGUGCUUUCAAGAUGAUCUAACACACAACUUAAACUAUAGUGCAAAGGAAACAAGAAAAACAAGCUGUAUUCAAAGAUACAGAUUAAGUACUCAGAGACCCUACUGGUUGGGAUGUCACACAAACAUGACUCCAUUUUCCCCUACAGCAUUCCUGUAUUCUUAUAUAAUUGUUUUUUUGUAAACUUGCACAAGUUACUUAAGCUCUCUUAAUUUUCAUUUCCCCCAUUGGUUUCCUGGUCAAGUUUUAACACACAGUAGGUUCUCAGGAAAUACUUGUUCAAAGGCCGGGUGUGGUGGCUCAUGCUUGUAAUCCCAGCACUUUGGGAGGCUGAGGUGGGUGAAUCACUUGAAGUCAGGAGUUCAAGACCUGCCUGGCAAAACCCUGUCUCUACCAAAAAUACAAAAAUCAGCCAGGCAUGGUGCCUGUAGUGACAGCUACUUGGGAGCCUGAGACAGGAGAAAGGCUUGAACCCAGGAGGCGGAGUUUGCAGUGAACCAAAAUUGCACCACUGCACUCCAGCCUGGGCGACAGAGCAAGACUUCGUCUCAAAAAUAAAUAAAUAAAUAAAUACUUGUUCAAUAUUCGGAUCAAUAUACAAUAUGGAGUAUUAAAGAUAAGUAUAUUCCGGAUACUCUAUAUGUAUGGAACCACAUGAGCUUAAGUGCAGAGGUCCAAAUAAGAAUGUCCGUCUUAUUCUCUGUACUUAACUCGUGUGGUACCAUACAUCUAGAGUGCCCAGGAUAUACUCAUCUUUUUCUCUAGCCAUCUAUAUUAUUUUUCUAUUGAUACAUAAUAAAUUACCACACACGUAGUGGCUUACGACAACACACAUUUAUCAUCUCACAGUUUUCAUGGAUCAGAAGUCCAGAUAUGGCUUAGCUGAGUCCUUUGAUCAAGGUCUCACAAGGCUACAAUCAAGGUGUCAGCUGGGUGGCGCUUCUUUUUGGAGCUCAGGGUCCUAUUCCAAGCUCACAUGAUGGUUGGCAGAAUUCAGUUACUUGCAGCUGCAGAGCUGAGGUUCUGCUUUCUUGCUGGUUGUUAGCUGGGAGCCACUCUUAGCUCCUGCAGGUUCCCACAGUCCCCUAUCAUGUGGCUCCUUUGUAGCCCACCUCACAGCAUAGCAGCUCACAUCUUCAGGGCCAGCAAGGCAGGGUCUGUCAUCUCAUCCUUGUCUGCCCACAGUCAUACAUCUAUAUCUAUGUCUACAUUUAUAUCUGUAUCUAUAUAUACAUCUAUAUCAUCUAUAUAUAUCUAUACUAUAUCUAUAUAUAACUUAUACCUCAAGGGAGUGACAUUCCACCGUUUUUGCCAUAUUCUAUGGGUUAGAAGCAAGUCUCAGGUUCUGUUCAUGCUCAAGGAAUAGGGAUCAUCAACAAGUAUGACUCAACUGGGACUCCCCUUAUGGUAUAUUCGCCACACUGUACAAGUCCUAUUGACUUCAAAGUCAAGCUCAAGUUACAGUCUUCUCCUUUGAUCUCCUAGCACUAGACACUAAACAGAGCAGAACUAAGAAUUUAUCCAGGGUGGUGUUUUUUUUUAAAUCAUUUCUCAUGUCCUGUAACACACACACAUAGGUGCAGGACUAAAUGCUGAAUCCCUACGGCUUGAGAUCCCCUGAGGCUGGGAUCUUGCAGCUAUCUGCAAUCUUUAUCUGUCUUUUGACACACUCUCCAAAUCCUCAACAAAUUAUGCUAAAUUUUCUGCACAGACACUUAGAAUCCUCACUUCUUCCCCAUUUAUGGGUCUUCACUCUAUUUCAAACUUCAAAUAUAUCUUGUGUCUGAAAAAAAACUUUUGGCUGUGCUUCAUGCUUCUUGUCUUUGCUAACUCCACAAACCCCUACACAUGCUACUCUCUGAAACUGUCACCACAGUGAUUAUGCGAUCCCCAAGACACAGGCCAGAUGUCUUCCUUACUUGAAGCACUUACCGGCACUUAUAUAUCUCAUCUUUCAACAAGUACAUAUAUAAAGGCUGAGAAUAAUUUGUGUAUUAUUUUUUGUUUAGGUAACAAAUUAAAAAAUUAAAAUAUCAUAUCCCAAAAUGGAAAUAAAACAGAUAGAAUGCCGAGUAUAUAUUAAAUAAGGCAAGCUAUUUAUGAUGAGGUAAGGAGAGUAUAUAAAGCUUUAUUUUUAAGAUAUAAAAACAAUACUAGUUUGAAACUACUUUGUUUUAUUUUUAGUUUUUCUGAAAUUAAUAUAUGUAAAAAAAUUCAUAAUUUUGUAGAUAAGAGUGUGGAGCACAAAACUAUGCAACAAAUGGGCGUUACCUACUCUCAACUGUGAUGGUUUCCAAGGCCGCCUGUGUAGUUUGAUACAACGGUGAAAGAAAAAUAAAUCUUGGGCCCCCCAAAUCCCUCAGCUAAAGGGAAAAGUCAAGCUGGGAACUGCUUAGGGAAAACCAGCCUCCCAUUUUGUUCAGAAUCAAAAUAAUUGAUUUUGUUCAUUUUGCUCACUCUAAUUGCCUCCUUUGGAAAGGCUAAUCAGAAACUCAAAAGAAUGCAGCCAUUUGUCUCUUAUCUACCUAUGACCUGGAAGCCCCCUCCUCGUUUGAAGUUGUCUCGCCUUUCCAGAUGGAACCAAUGUUCAUCUUACAUAUGUCGGUUGAUGUCUCAUGUCUCUCUAAAAUGUAUAAAGCAAAGCUGUGCUCUGACCACCUUGAGCACAUGUCCUCAGGACCUCCCGAGGCCGUGUCACAGGCACACAUCCUCAACCUUGGCAAAAUAAACUUUCUAAAAUAAUCGAGACCUGUCUCAG
rnacentral:lncRNA from 10 species